GUAGGUGGCAAGCGUUGUCCGGAAUUAUUGGGCGUAAAGCGCGCGCAGGCGGUCCUUUAAGUCUGAUGUGAAAGCCCACGGCUCAACCGUGGAGGGUCAUUGGAAACUGGGGGACUUGAGUACAGAAGAGGAAAGCGGAAUUCCAAGUGUAGCGGUGAAAUGCGUAGAGAUUUGGAGGAACACCAGUGGCGAAGGCGGCUUUCUGGUCUGUAACUGACGCUGAGGCGCGAAAGCGUGGGGAGCAAACAGGAUUAGAUACCCUGGUAGUCCACGCCGUAAACGAUGAGUGCUAAGUGUUAGGGGGUUUCCGCCCCCCUUAGUGCUGCAGCUAACGCAUUAAGCACUCCGCCUGGGGGAGUACGGCCGCAAGGCUG
rnacentral:rRNA from 1 species